rnacentral:sRNA from 1 species
GCUGGGCAUGAUGGUACAAGCCUGUAAUCUCAGCCCCUUGGGAGGCUGAGACGGGAGGAUCACAAGUAUGAGGCCAGCCUCAGUAACUCAGUGAGGCCCUAAGCAACUUAAUGAGACCCCGUCUCAA